ACCUACAGCUCAAGUGGUUGUCAUUAUUAUUGGGCCUAAAGCGUUCGUAGCCGGUUUGAUAAGUCUCUGGUGAAAUCCCGCAGCUUAACUGUGGGACUUGCUGGAGAUACUAUCAGACUUGAGGUCGGGAGAGGUUAGGGGUACUCCCAGGGUAGAGGUGAAAUGCUAUAAUCCUGGGAGGACCUCCUGUGGCGAAGGCGGCUAACUGGAACGAACCUGACGGUGAGUAACGAAAGCGAGGGGCGCGAACCG
rnacentral:rRNA from 1 species